GACGAACGCUGGCGGCGUGCUUAACACAUGCCAGUCGAACGGAAAGGCACUGCUUUUGUGGUGUGCUCGAGUGGCGAACGGGUGAGUAACACGUGAGUAACCUGCCCUUGUCUUUGGGAUAACUUCAGGAAACUGGGGCUAAUACCGGAUAGGAGCUGCUGCUGCAUGGUGGGGGUUGGAAAGUUUCUGCGGUUGUGGAUGGACUGGCGGCUAAUGAGCUUGUUGGUGGGGGAGUUGCUUACCAAGGAAUUGACGGGUAGGCGGCCUGGGAGGGGGAACGGCCACAUUGGGCCUACGGGACGGCCCAGUGUCCAACGGUAGGCAGUGGGGGGGAGUCUUGCACAAUGAGCGCGAGCGUGAUGCGGCAGCGCCGCGUGCGUGAUGACGGCCUUCGGGUUGAAAACCGCUUCCGCUUGUGACGAAGCGUUAGUGACGGUAAUGGGUAAAGAAGCACCGGCUAACUACGUG
rnacentral:rRNA from 1 species